rnacentral:rRNA from 1 species
AUUCCAGCUCCAAUAGCGUAUAUUAAAGUUGUUGCAGUUAAAACGCUCGUAGUCGGAUUUCGGGGCGGCUUCGUCGGUCUGCCGAUGGGUAUGCACUGACGCGGGCGUCCUUCCUUCCGGAGACGCGUCCUACUCUUAGCUGAGCGGGGCGUGGAGACGGAUCGUUUACUUUGAAAAAAUCAGAGUGUUUCAAGCAGGCAUCAUCGCUCUUGCAUGGAUUAGCAUGGGAUAAUGAAAUAGGACCUUGGUGCUAUUUUGUUGGUUUCGAGCACCGGAGUAAUGAUUAAUAGGGACAGUUGGGGGCAUUAGUAUUUAAUUGUCAGAGGUGAAAUUCUUGGAUUUAUGAAAGACUAACUACUGCGAAAGCAUUUGCCAAGGAUGUUUUCAUUA